UGAUUGAUGAUUAAAAUUUGAUAAUGAAACAUUUAUAUAUAUUACAAUUAUUAUUUUUAUUAUUUUUUGAUCGGAGUUAUGAUUUGCAUGAUAUUGAAUCAUGUAUUCCGAUUUCAUGAAUUGUUGAUUUGAAAACAAAUGUUAUUGGUAAUUAAAAAAAAAAAAAAAUACCAAUGAAGCUGCAAAUGUUGUCGGGGAAGACCAUCCAAUUUUUUUUAGGUAAUGACCAUUUGCUAUAUAGUAGAGUUGAGAAUUUUCUUUUUAUACAUGAUUUAAAAUUGCAAGCUUUAUGAUUUUAGUUGUAAAAUAACAAAUAUCUGGUGAAUCAUAAUUGUCUUCAUCAUAUUCAAAAUCUUCUGGACAAUAAUUAUCAUCAUCAUCAACAUGCAUGCAUCAGUCAUCUCACAGCUAAAACGGAAAUGUUAUAUUGUAAAAAGCACGUGUUUUCGAAAUUGAUAAAAUUUAUUUAUGCAUAAGUUUUAAAUUCAAUGAUGAUGAUGAUGAUGAAACAGACAGAAAAAAAAAUGACGCUUAGUCACAGAAAUCAUCAUACACAUGCAUUAGCAGUAAAGUUCAACCAUAUACUGAAAAAAACGGGAGAGUCAAAUCUAGCUGAUCAGCACACGGUGCCGCAGUUUUUGAAUCCAAUAGAUGGUGCAAUCAUUCAAUAGAACAAUACAUGUGACAAACGUGAUUUUCAUUUUGUGUGCCUGUGUGAGUGUGUAUUUGAUGAUGAAAUCUUGCCUGAAGACUGCAUUCAUUGGAAUGAUUUUUUUUUGUGUUUUUAUUCCGGUGAUCUAUGAUCUACUCAUCGUUUGUUGAUUUGGCUUUUUGAUUUACUUUCGACGCUAAACAUGAUGGUGUUGAUCGUGAUUUUUUUCGGAUGAUCCAUUCUUAGGAAUACUGUCGUCGACAUAGAAAUUCGGAUGAACAGCAACGAUAUGUUGAUAUAAUAAUUCGCGAUUGCGAAAUUUCUUGCUGCAGCAAUUGGCCGAAAAGAUCUCGCAUCUUUGGAUGGCAUGCAAUGAUUUCACAAUGGCAUUAUUCUCGCCCAAUUUUCUUCUCGAUUUUUGUUCAGGAAAUUGAGGAACCUGUGGGUCCUCACCUUCGGGUAACCAGCAAUAUUGACCUCAAGGAUUCAUACCUUUGGCUGGAUACCAAGCAUUUUGGAACAACACCUGGAAGAAAAUCAAUUAGUGGUGUUUUAAUUAAAUACUAUGGAUCAACAAUUGGUUGGAUGAGUAAAAAACAAAAAUCAAUAGCAAUUUCAACAGCUGAAGCUGAAUAUUAUGUGCCAUAUCUUUAGGUAUGGC